AGAGUUUGAUCAUGGCUCAGGACGAACGCUGGCGGCGUGCUUAACACAUGCAAGUCACGGGGGUCCCGGGGGCAACUCUGGGAUAACCGGCGAACGGGUGCGUAACACGUGAACAACCUGCCCUCGUGUGGGGGAUAGCCGGGCUAACGCCCGGGUAAUACCGCAUACGUUCUCGUGGGGGAGUCCCUGCGGGAGGAAAGCUCUGGCGCACGGGGAGGGGUUCGCGGCCUAUCAGCUUGUUGGCGGGGUAACGGCCCACCAAGGCGACGACGGGUAGCUGGUCUGAGAGGAUGGCCAGCCACAUUGGGACUGAGAGACGGCCCAGACUCCUACGGGAGGCAGCAGUGGGGAAUCUUGCGCAAUGGUCUAACGACUGACGCAGCGACGCCGCGUGUGGGAGGACGCCUUUCGGGGUGUAAACCACUGUUGCCCGGGACGAACAGCGCUAUUCGUGGCGUCUGACGGUACCGGGUGAGGAAGCACCGGCUAACUCCGUGCCAGCCGCCGCGGUAAUAC
rnacentral:rRNA from 1 species